rnacentral:rRNA from 1 species
GAUGAACGCUGGCGGUAUGCCUAACACAUGCAAGUCGAACGGGCUUUUCGGAGCUAGUGGCGGACGGGUGAGUAACGCGCGAGAAUCUGCCUUCAGGCUGGGGGUAACAGGGAGAAAUCGCUGCUAACACCCAAUGUGCCGAAAGGUGAAAUACUUGUAGCCAGAAGAGGAGCUCGCGGCCGAUGAGCUAGUUGGUGGGUUAAGAGCCUACCAAGGCAGCGAUCGGUAGCUGGUCUGCGAGGAUGAGCAGCAACCCUGCGACGUAGACACGGCCCAGACUCCUACGAGAGACAGCAUUGGGGAAUUUUCCGCAAUGGGCGAAAGCCUGACGGAGCAAUACCGCGUGAGGGAGGAAGGCUUUUGGGUUGUAAACCUCUUUUGUUAAGGAAGAAGAAAGUGACUGUACUUAAAGAAGAAGCAUCGGCUAACUCCGUGCCAGCCGCCGCCGUAA